rnacentral:lncRNA from 1 species
GGUAUCUUUGCAAAUCAAGCUUCUUUUAAGGGCAAAACAGUAAUUGCGUCAUUAAUUGAUAAAUAGAAAUUGAGGAUCCGAUUUUUCAUUCUCUAUCUCUAACUGAAAAAUGAAAAGAACAGACGCACAAGCAGCAACUCUUCCCUUCAUCUUCACAUCCGGGGUACGUUUUCCAUUUAAUUUUUGCUCAAAUUUCUUUCUAUCAAUUUCAGUCUUUCUACUUUUUGGUCUACCUUGGUUGAAUCUGUUUUGGUUUUUGCCCUUUUUCCGCUCUUUUGGUUCAUUAUUGCUUCCUUAACGUUGUCUUUUUCCUUUUCUAAUUUUAUUACGUUGUUCUCUCGGUAUUCUGUAUCUCUCUCCCUCCAGAGUAAUUAUCGAGGUUGGGAUAUAUAUUUUUUUUGGUUUUUGUUUUGCUUUCCAGCAGAAGCGGAUUCAAGAUAUAAAUCAUAUGGGUUCAACUUUUAAGAUUUUUAACGUUGAACUCAUUAUAUUUGUAAAGCUAUGGGUUCAUAUCUACUAUUUUUUGCAAUUUUAAUAAAUUUUGACACAAAUUCUUACUCCACAAUCAAAAGUUAAAGUUAUGAGUUCAAUUAAAACCCGUCGUUAGAACUUUACAUACGCCCCUGCUUUCAAGGAAGAUUUUCUCAUAAAUAGGAGCUUUGUUUAAUUGUAUUGAACUAUGAAUAGAUUUUAAAUAGGUAUUGUGAAAAUGAAACAGAGAUUAUUUUCUGUUCUUUUCACAUUGUGGUUUUAUUUUUGUUUUAUGUAUAAUCUGCUAUUAACUGGCAUGUUAACUUGUUGGUCCUGCUCUACAAAAAAUAUGUUUCUGCUCUCUCUUAAAUUUUAUUUAUAAGAAUUUUUCUUCACUAAAAACUUAAUCUUGGCAAAGCAUUCCAAUUAAAAGUUGCAGUAUAUUAGCAUAAUGAAAAAUAGCACAAACUGACAAUACUCUGAAAAUCCACCAAACCUAAAGGUACCGUCUUAAAGCCAAUAUAGAACUAAUGGUUAGAGUUAUGAGUUACUAUAAGAAUUGGUGCUUUGUAAGACUUUAAGGUUGAUUCAUCCUAUGCAAAAAUAGUUAAAUUGAAAUUUCUUGUAUAUGCUUUGAUAAACAAUCUUGCUGGUUUAGAAAUUUCUUUUAAAAUCUAGGAAAUAAGGUCACAUCCAAAGAACCAAUGUGCACAAACGAAAAUACUAAAAGCCUGGGAACUUCAAAUUUUGAGGAUUCCAAGUUGAACUGCUCCAAUUGGUCAACAAUCUGUGUGCAUUUUUCAAAAUGGGUUAUAAAUGUCGCUGUAUUAGAGUUACUCAUUUGUCAAUAAUGAAUAUUUUGCUAUAACUGUAGAACUUUCAUGUCUUAUACCGGUUUUAGAAGCAACAAGCACGCGUCCUUUUUAUUUAUUCCCCUAUAUAUCUUCUUUCCCUUCCCCCAAAACUUUAGUUUUUAUCAUACUUCAGAUCUUAAAAUACCAACAUUGUUAAGGUUAAAAUUUUCUUGAAUUUAAAUGUGGUUGACUUGAAGAGGAGUGCAAGCUAAGAUAGUUCAUGUGAUCCGAUGAUUGGCAAAAUUGCGAGUAUUUGAUUGUUUGCAUGACAUAAUUAGACACUUUUUACCAAAAGGUGAGCAAUUAGAUCUUCAUAAAAUGACUUUUUUGGUCAACUUAAAGUAAAAUAUUCUUAUUAUUAAUUAUUUUUUUAUUUCUUAUUUGGAAUUAAUGAGUAGUUCCUAUUGUUGUAAUCUUUAAGGAUGGAUAAAAAUAUAUCGAUAUUUUGUUCUUCAAUGAAUAAUUUUAAAAAAUAAUGGAAUAUUUCUUCCAGUUUCCCGCUGACAAGCUAGAGGGUCUAUAAAAGCUUGACGGGAAAGUAAAGUUUUGAACUUUAAAAGGUUUAUUAAUGAGAUCAUGCUAACAAUAACAAGUAAACAUAAUUCUUCCCUUUAAAUACACAUUCAAAUUUUGGUGGAUCUUCUGGCUAUAUGUGAAGAAAUUACCAACCUCUUGAGUGGAUCUCUUUGAUAGAAAAAAAUACUUUUGCGCAAGUUCAUGUAUGUGUAUAUUAUAAUUGCCUGGUCUAGGACUAUGAUAAAUAACCUUUGCUCAUAAAAUCUUGGGAUAUUCACCAUACUAGAAGAUUUCUUCUUAAUGAUCUAGCUCGACCCAGCAAAUUAAAGUAUUUAUAGACUUAAAGAACCUAUCAUGGAUUUCAUGAGCCAGGAUCCUACUUCAGAUGAAGAGGCUUCCUUUUCUGCCAAAGAACUAAAAUUAUAGGGUUAGUAUCGGUAUAGUAAAAGUGCUUUUUUUAUAUCCAUGGAGUGAUAAUUGAUAAGGCGUCAUUGACUAACCACAUCGGUUUCUUCUUCAUCUAUUUUUAUAUGGGCCUAGAUAUCAAGUUUCUAAAUUUAUAAGCAGCAACCUGCUACUCUGCUUCAACACUUCCUUAAUAUCAACAAGUAGGCGUGCUAAAUCAAUAUUGUCCUCAGUUUCCAUUUGAAUGUGAAGCUCACCGUAUUGCCACCAGUAUUUAUUAUAAUAGUAUAUAUGCAUGAAUCUUUUACAAAUUAGUUCUUGUAGCUUCCAGAAUAAGGCUCCUAUACCAUUAGAUGUCCUAUGCCAAAUUUGUCAGCAUUACUUAUGGUGGCUGUUUUGUAGUUCAUAGCUAUCUAUUUGGUUAUUUUUUUAUCGCUUGUUCAUUUAUGUGAAGUAACUACUAAACUAAGUACCAUAUUCUUUUUGGGACAUGUAUCUUUUGAAAUGUACGCUCCUCAAGUCCAUCAUUUUGUACUGUAAAUUUCUAAAAAAGUACUUUCUAUUUAAAAGUCAGCAGAAGAUAAAUAUGUAAUACUAGAAUGAAUAUUUACACAUGUAGUUAGACGUUUGAUUGAAAGAGUUUAAACUUUUAAUGAAGUUAACAUAGAAGGCUUGAUGAUAUUCAAAACCCUAAGAUUGUCAAUUGGGUCGAGCAUAGAAAUUAAAUUUUUUUGCAGAGCUUAAUUACUUCCCUCGAUUUAUAGCAAGGCACAAGUUUUCAGUUCAAAAGAAUAAAUGGCUCAGAAGAUAUUAAAGCUCCACACUUUUCUCCAGUUUUGGUCUAAUUGCAGUUUUGCUGCAAUCUUUUUUUUUCCUUUUUGCAGUUUUGCUGCAAUUUUGUGUUCAAUAAUUGAUGCAGUUUUAGUCUAGCUAAGAAGCAGUUUUACUGCAAUUUUUGUCCAGUUUUGAUGGGGUUUUUUAUGGAAUGGGUCUUGAAGAUGUGAAUUAAGGUUUUUUAGAGGGUAGAAGAUGAUCGUUGAUUAAGGGAGAGCUUUUUCCAUGGUGUAUAUCCACGCCAUUAAUUAUAUUAUAGUUAAAUAUGUGUGGCAUCUGAUGUGGAGGGUCGUUAAUAGUAACGGUAGAUGUAGGCUAAAAAUUAGGUGACAGAAGUAUAAUUGCUACUAGAAUUUAACGGAGAAUAAAAAUGACCUAUUUCAAAUAGUUCAAGGGUAAAAGUCACAUGAUUGCAAUGCAAGUUCAUUUUAGGAACAUCAACGUUGGUGGUAUUAUCUAUUGACGCCGUAAAAUAGAGUUCCAAGCAGCUAGAUAUGAAAUCAACAUAUGCUAUCUUUUUCCAUUCAUUCUCAUUGCUCUUCACCUAUUUUUUUUAAACGUAGUUUUGCUUGGAAUUUGCUUGUAAAUUUGUAUUUUAUUCAGAUGUUUUACCUGAAAGUACAAGUAGUGGAUUGAUAAACCGUCUUUGCAUAUUUGGUAGGGGCUAAUUCACGUGGCCACUUGUAGUUCUUGAUAGUUCGGUUUGCUCUACUUUUAGUUUAGUAAGUGAAAUGCACAAAGAUUAUAUGAUUCAUGUGUUUGUAUAAAUGGGAUGUGUACAUGCAUUCACAUAUAUAUGUGCUAUGUUUUAACAUAUAUUAAGCUUGUAUUAUGAACAUGCUUCUAUGAUGAAUACUUUUGACUUCUUCUAUUUUUCUUUGUUUGCAGAUUAUAACUACCGAGCGAAAAUCAGAGCAAAAUUUACUUACUAUAGUUGUUGAAGAGUUAAAAGUUCCUCCUCCUCCACUUUGAAUGGUAAUGGCUAUGAACUAUUGAUCUUGGUACCUAUUUUUGUUCAAUCCCUCAGCAUUCCAUUCCUUAUAUAUUUAUGUUUAUCAUUAUGAUGGUAAGGCCUAAAUCACUUUAUGCACUUCCAUGAAAUAGCCAGUCUUGGAUUGCGUAUUAUGUGUUUUAGUUUAUUUAUUUCAUUGUCUUUUUGUUGUAGUUAUGCACAUGCUUCAAUUGGUUCUAACAUGCCUAUAAAAAGGAUUGCUUUGUACUUUAUGUUGUAUUUAAUUUUUCUUUUGUGCAAGCUAUUUAUUUAAUUAUUUCGCCUGAUUUAAGCAAAUUAGUUUGAUUCAAAUGACAACCUUGAUGUGUUAUGUUCAAUGAUAUGCUUUGUUAUAAUUAUAAUUGUGUGUUCAGUAUCUUGUCUGUCAUUGAAACUUCAUUUAUUCAGGAACUAUAUUCUAUCUCUAAGAUACCCUUUCAUUGAUGGAUGAUUGGUGCAUUUCUUCAUUGAAUUAAACGGCUGAUAAAGAAGUUACUUUUUGCUGAUAAGGAGGUUACUUACUUUUGCAGGAGGCUUGAUGUUUUUAUCAUACUACGAAUUCAUAGAUUCUUAAGUUAUGCCAUUCUUACCCUGCUAAACCAGUUGAAACACAUAUAGACGCUUGCUAAGACCCAGUAACAAUAAAAGCUUAUAAUAUGAAUAAAGAUGUAUGAAGGAGUUCACCUAUUUAUCUUGACUUAUCAAUGGUAACUAAAUCAUGCCGUUACAAUAACUAUUUAGUAGCAGAAGAUAUUUCAGAAACCAAGUCAUGAAGAAGUAGUGUCUUUGGUCUAUUACUUUGUAUAGUUUAUCUUCAAUGAAUUUAAUUUCAUUGAGGGAGUGAGAUUUAUUAUUUCUGAAUGCCCAGAUUAUGAAUAUGUAUGUUCUGAGUUGUAGAUGGUCUUUAACAUUUGUCGUGAUUUACUAAGAAUGGGCUAUGCUUUUUGUGUUAGAAAAA